GGAAACAGACCCAAAAGUUUGAAAACUUUCCCAAGAUGACUCAGCUAGGAAAGUCUAAAGCUGGAACUUGAGCCCACAUCUAUUUAGACUCCAACGUUCAUGCUCCCCUAUUUUCAUUAUCAUAUGGCAGUGAUCUCAAAGUAAUAGGAUCAGCCCUUGAACAUGGACUUGGCUUCUCCCCAGUGGCAGAUCUGGGACAUAACUGUGAGCAAAGAGUACUGGAGAGUACAUGCAUUCUCACUACUAAUAUGCACUUUUAUUCAACAUAGUACUGGAAGCCUUCGCCACAGCAAUCAGACAACAAAAAGAAAUGAAAGGCAUCCAAAUUGGCAAGAGCAACAAAUGCAAAAAUAAGAAAAUGGGACCACAUCAAACUGAAAAGCUUUUGCACAGUGAAGAAAACCAUCAACAAAACAAAAAGGCAAUUUGCUGAAUGGAAGAAGAUAUUUGCAAAAGAUAUAACUGAUAAGGGUUAUCUAUCCAAAAUAUAUAAAGAACUCACACAGCUCA